GAAGACUAUACUUCCUUUCGUUAGUAUUAAAUGAAAUUCAUUCAAUUGCUGGAUUCUACGAUUCGCCACAUAUGUCUAUAUAACAUUCAUUCGUAAGUCUCAGUAUUUUGGUCUCCUGUUUGACUCUACUCCAGAUGGACGUCGAAAGCAUUAUAUGGAUAAUGAUUUCGAGGAGACAACAACUGUUUUUAGCAAACAUCUUUUCAUGAAUUCGUCCAAUCAAAAUGAAAGGAUGUUGGAAAUAUGAUAGCAGUAAUUAUCGUCCAAAUUGUAAGAGACGAAAUGCCAUUGUAAAACUGUCGGUUACAAUGCUAUGACAAUGCUGCAGUUAUGGCUGGUUAUGAAAACAAUCUUCAACGGAGAAAAAAUAACGCAAAGUUAUUUUUGUAAACUGCAGUAAUCAUCCUCUCAAUUUUGUUGGAAUGCGUACUGCUAACCAUAUAUAAAGCAAUUCAUUCGAUUAUUUAUUCUUCUCUUGCUGGACACUCCGUUAGUGAAAGAAGAAAGACGCCAUACUAGUAUUUGUGAAUCUGAAUUUGAAACUCAAUGGAGUUCCCGGACAGAGUCUGUGAAACCAAUUCAUGAAAUCUUCGAUACGAUAGUGAAACUUGAAACCAUGCAUAACAUGGCUGAUAAACAGAAUCAAGUAGUUGGGGCCAGAGGUGAUAAGGUUGUUCCAGUCACAUCACUGGUUGGUACAGUCCUAUCACCUUCCAGAUCCCACUGGGACAAGGGCAAAAAAAGUCAAGAGACUGCUUAUGCCUGCUCACAACUGCAUAGCGAACAAGUAGCAGAAGCAUAGCUCAAGUUACCCCGUCACAUUCACUUGAAACUGAGAGCUAUGUAACCGAAAUCAUAACCGGCUUGUGGACUCGCCUUGCUAUAAAUGAACUUUCUAGUUCUGCAGCUUAUAAUUAAAUUUAAAAAAAAUAA